UACAGAGGUCUCAAGCGUUGUUCGGAUUCAUUGGGCGUAAAGGGCGCGUAGGCGGCGGGGUAAGUCGGGUGUGAAAUCUCAGAGCUCAACUCUGAAAUGGCACUUGAUACUGCUCUGCUAGAGGACUGGAGAGGAGAUUGGAAUUCUCGGUGUAGCGGUGAAAUGCGUAGAUAUCGAGAGGAACACCUGCGGCGAAGGCGGGUUGCUGGGCCGACACUGACGCUGAUGCGCGAAAGCCAGGGGAGCGAACGGG
rnacentral:rRNA from 1 species